UGGAGACGACACGAAAAUAUGUCUUACAGCACGACGCCCAGAGUCUUGUCCGAUACCCUUAGACAUUUAGAAGGUGAAAAUAAACAAAAGUACGUGGAAAAAUGAGAUAAAGUCGGCAUAGAUGACCCAUAUUAAAUGGCGAAGUCGAUGUUUUCGCCGAUAAGAAAUUGGACUGUUAAUUCGCUUCCCUUGGACAACUGGAUCUACAUAUGGAUCUGAUUAUAUCAUAGCAGAGCCUGUCACUCACCUCAUACUCUGCAAACCUCGUGGAGUCCUCCAGGUUCAUCUCCUCCCUCCUUAGAGGAGAAUCACGGGUGGCCAGUGCCAAACAGCGGAGGGUGUCGCGCCCGGUGCCCCACUCCUUGAUGACUGCCAUGAUGUGAUCUUUGACGGGCCCAGUCAAGGGAAGACGACUUGUGCCCACGCGGACACUUUGAUGGAGAACAGUACACUGACAUGGACUUCCUAUCUCUGGAGAACUCCAGUGUGAACUCUUUCUUCAUCAGUUGCUUGAUCACCUGUCGGAGAAAAGUAGAAAUUGAAAGGAAAUAAUGAAAAUACAUCUGUUCCGAGGUCGAACUGUUGCCAUCAUACCGUGGGGUUCCUCUUUUUGGUCUUUUUGAGGUGACAGGACUUCCUUCACCUGUGAGUAUUGUUUUCUUAUGGUGUGCCGUAUUUUCACAACAUUUAGACUUUGUUUACCUGGUUCAUUUAAUGAUAUACAAUUGCUCUCAUGAAGAGUUUUAAACCCGAACCCCUCCCGUAAAAGGCAUUGCAUUUGCUAUGAAUGAAAGCAUCUUUGAAGUGAAUUAUGUGUAUUAUGUACUAUGACCCGGAUGCCUUUGUAUAGUACAUGUUUGCAGUAGGGCCGCAUGGUGGGGCAGCUGGUAAAGGUCCCGAGUUUGAUCCCGGACCCUCCUGUGUGGAGUUUGCAUGUUCUCCCCGUGCUUGCGUGGGUUUCCUCCGGGCACUCUGGUUUCCUCCCACAUCCCCAUAACAUGCACCAUUAAUUGUAACUGUAAAUUGUGAGUGCGACUGUUGUCUGUCUCCAUGUGCCUUGCAAUUGUCUGGCAACCAGUUCAGGGUGUACCCUGCUUCCUGCCCGUUGACUGCUAGGAUAGGUUCCAGCACUCCCCGUGACCCUUGUGAGGAUAAGCAGCUAAGAAAAUGGAUUCCCAGAAAUUAGAUCCCGGACCCGGCUGUGUGGAGUUUGCAUGUUCUCCCGGGGCCUGUGUGGGUUUCCUCCGGGUACUCCGGUUUCCUCCCACAUCUCCAAAACAUGCAACAUUAAUUGGAGACUCUAAAUUGCCCCAAGGUGUGAUUGUGAGUGUGGCUGUUUGUCUCAAUGCGCUGUACGAUUGGCUGGCAACCAGUUCAGGGUGUACCCCCCCUCCUGCCCGUUGACAGCUGGGAUAGGCUCCAGCACUCCCCGCGACCCUCGUGAGGAUAAGCGGCAAAGAAAAUGGAGGCAUGUAUUACAGUAUACACAUUGAUAGUAUCUAUCAAUCUCUGUCUCUUCUGCUGCACGGGGCAUUGCUUACUUGCUCAGCAGGUUACUUGCUGCCAUAUGAAAUUCUUCCUUGUACAGUAUAUUUAACCACGAGGGUCCCCUGCCGGACGGCCCGCCCCAUACAUGGGCCGGACCGCAGGCAGGUCGGCGAUGGGCAACAGAAGCAGGGCGCGAUGACAGGGUGAUUGAUGAGAGUUUGGCCAAAUGGAAGGACUUCACGGUGAAGAAGUUAAAAGAAACACAAAGGUGUGUGUGUGUGGGGGGGGGGGUACACCGGGAAGAAGUUAAAAGAGACACAAAGGUGGCAGUGGUGGUGGGGGGGCAACUUUAUGACCAGUGAUUAUCACCCUUCAGCUUUUUUUAUUGGCCAACUGGGGCACUGUGUUGUUUGCGGACACAAGCGCCCUGGUCUCGUCUAACACUGAUGAACUUUUUGUGGUUAGAUUUAGCAACUUUUCAACGGACCUCAGCAAAUGUUUCCCCAAAAAUCAACACACUUAGGUGCGGUUAAAAUCAGAGGGGAAACUUUUAGCAACUUUUAAAAAGUGAAUCAAAUGUUAAAACACACACAUUAUCCUUGUAACCGAUGUCCUUGUUUUGACUACACCUGGCUAAGUGAAAUUUUCGUUAAAAUUCACAGAUAUUCUCUCUAAAUAAUUUCAAAUUCUUCUCUCCGUUCCAUGGUCAUAAAAAUACACAGCCUGUUUGUCUCAUUGCAAAGUGCUUUGUGAGUUGCUAAAUUUACUUCAAUUCAUCCAUUUUCUCGCACACUUGUCCACACCUGAGCUCGGGUGAGCUGCAGCCCCUCCCAGCUGACUCUGCUCGAGAGGUGGAGUACACCCUGGACUGGUUCCUAGCCCACUGUCCCACAAAGACACCAACACCCACAUUCACGCGUACGGACACCUAUUAGUCGUGUCACGCCAUGUCAUUAUCCAAGGCGCUUAUCCUCACAAGGGUCACGGGAAAGCUGGAGCCUAUUCCAUCCAGCUUCGGGCGAAAGGCGGACUACACCCUGAACUGGUCGCCAGUCAGUCGCAGGGCAGAUAUCGACACCAUCACUGAGCGGGAAUCGAUCCCACACCUAUUAGUGUCUUCCACUGACCUAAUAAAAUUUUUAAAAUGUGGAUAUAUGGAAAAAAAAAAACAUGCAGCCACGGAGAAAAUAUGCUAACUCUCUCAAGGAAGGCCUGAACUGGGAUUUGAAGUGGAUGAAGUUCAAGAACCAAAGUUGAAAUCAUACCAUCAUACAUCCAAGCAUACAAACUAUGUGUAUCAGGUAAAUGUGAAUAAAACAAAUACAAUGUGGUGAUGAACUCAUAAGUACAUUAAAAAUCUUUUAUUCUCAGCUGUUCGAUCAAUUUGAGUUACACUACUGCGACAUCCACAACCUUUUUAAUCCAAAUGACAACAUUACACAAUAGCAACAUGAUUAACAACAAAUUAUCACAUCUUUAGAAACAUCCAUCCAUCCAUUAUCCAAGCCCCUUAUCCUCACAAGGGUCACGGGAGAGCUGGAGCCUAACCCAGCUAGCUUCAGGCAAAAGGCGGACUACACCCUGAACUGGUCGGCAGUCAGUCGCAGGGCAGAUAUGAAGACCGUCACUUAGCGGGAAUCGAUCCCACGCUGCCUGCACCAAUUCAGACGUGUACCACUACGAUAUAAGUGACUUACAUCUUUAGAAACAUCCCCGGAAAAUGAAUUGACAUCGCUGCUUGUGUACAACCAAAAGAUAGCAGACGGACCAAACGCCCGGCAUACUUGCAAACACGCAAACAUUGAACCGCUUAGGGAAUGUGAAAAGCACUUCUGAAUUUUGCUCGUACAGAUAUCAAUUUUUCUGAGCAACUCCAACUUUGUACAAAUGUGAGACAAGGAAACGGUGUCAAAAUAAAGACAGACAGCUAUUCAGACAGUCAAAUGGACAGUGUAUGGCAUGCGUCAGACAAGUGUGUGCACAUGCAAACAGUGUUUGUGUGCAACAGGUGUUCAAUUGGAAUGGUGCUAAUCUUUAAGUACUGUCCCAGCAAGCCCUAUUCCAGGGAAACACACACUUGAUGAUGAUGCUUUUAUGAUCCCUGUAGGAAAGCAAUUGUUUUGAAGCCAAUUGCGCAACAACUUCUAAUGAUUACUUCGGUUUGGAGUGUUUACGCUGGCAAAUUUGAGUGUAUCACACACAUACAAAAAUAAAAGUGAAAUGCGGGCUUGAUUUCUCAGGCUUCGAAUCCA